UACGAAGGGGGCUAGCGUUGUUCGGAAUUACUGGGCGUAAAGGGCGCGUAGGCGGCGUGUCAAGUCAGGCGUGAAAGCCCCGGGCUCAACCUGGGAACCGCGCUUGAGACUGGCAUGCUCGAGUUCGGGAGAGGAUGGUGGAAUUCCCAGUGUAGAGGUGAAAUUCGUAGAUAUUCGCAAGAACACCAGUGGCGAAGGCGGCUCACUGGGUCAUUACUGACGCUGAGGCACGAAAGCGUGGGGAGCAAACAGG
rnacentral:rRNA from 1 species